GAAGAAGUGGCGUCUACGUGAACAUCCAAAAUCAAACUCGAAAUGCGCGCCACGGUGACGAUCAGUAGGCGGAGCGUAGUGGGCACCCUUGCUCCGCUGAAGCC
rnacentral:lncRNA from 1 species